rnacentral:rRNA from 1 species
UUACUGGGCGUAAAGGGCGUCUAGGUUGUCUGUCAAGUUGGCCGUGAAAGUCCUCGGCUAAACUGAGGAAAGUCGGUCGAAACUGUCAGGCUAGAGGAACGUAGAGGGAGGUGGAACUCUCGGAGUAGCGGUGGAAUGCGUAGAUACCGAGAGGUACCCCGAUGGUGAAGACAGCCUCCUGGGCGUUUCCUGACACUGAAGCGCUAAGGCCAGGGGAGCAAAGGGGAUUAGAUACCCCCGUAGUCCUGGCUUCAAACGAUGUGGGCUUGGUGUCGGCUCCCGAAGAGAGUCGUUGCCGGAGCUAACGCGUUAAGCCCACCGCCUGGGGAUUACGUCCGCAAGGAUGAAACUCAAGGGAAUUGACGGGGGCCCACACAACCGGUGGAGCACGUGGUUUAAUUCGAUGAUAAGCGAAGAACCUUACCAGGACUUGACAUGUCGGUAGUAGGACCCUGAAAGGGGAACGAUUCCAGACUUUGUCUGGAAAGCCGUCACAGGUAUUGCAUGGCUGUCGUCAGCCCGUGUCGUGGGACGUUGGGUUAAGUCCCGUAACGAGCGCAACCCCUGCUCUUAAUUGCCAGCGCUUAGGGCGGGUACUAUAAGAGGACUGCCGGAGAAUAUCCGGAGGAAGGAGGGGACGACGUCAAGUCAUUAUGAUCCUUAUGUUCUGGGCGACACACGUGCUACAAUGGGCACUACAGAGGGGAGCCAAUCCGCAAGGAUGAGCAAAUCUCAAAAAGGUGCCCCCAGUGCGAAUUGGGGUCUGCAACUCGACCCCAUGA